rnacentral:lncRNA from 1 species
AUGGUCAUCCUGUCAGCAAGGACCACAGCCCAAGGUUUUCCUUCAACUCAGCGAGCCAUAGCUCUCCGAGGUAGUUGGAUGUCGCGAGGCGCGACGUCAGGAUCCUGCCAGCAGGUCCUAAACCUGAAAGGACGAGGACAGAGACACGGGAGACACCUUUCUUCUCAUGUUCCUUGCUUGCUUUAUUACAGAACCUCUUCCUUUUAUACUCUCCAGCUGCAUGGGAGAGAGGGCUGCACUGGAGCGAGAGUACCGCCCACACAUUCCAGAGGGAAACAAUAA